rnacentral:tRNA from 1 species
UGCAUCGCCCGGGAAUUGAAGCCCGCGUGGCAGGCGAGCAUUCUACCACUGAACCACCGAUGC